rnacentral:rRNA from 1 species
UGGGGAAUAUUGCACAAUGGGGGAAACCCUGAUGCAGCGACGCCGCGUGAGCGAAGAAGUAUUUCGGUAUGUAAAGCUCUAUCAGCAGGGAAGAAAAUGACGGUACCUGACUAAGAAGCACCGGCUAAAUACGUGCCAGCAGCCGCGGUAAUACGUAUGGUGCAAGCGUUAUCCGGAUUUACUGGGUGUAAAGGGAGCGUAGACGGAUGGGCAAGUCUGAUGUGAAAACCCGGGGCUCAACCCCGGGACUGCAUUGGAAACUGUUCAUCUAGAGUGCUGGAGAGGUAAGUGGAAUUCCUAGUGUAGCGGUGAAAUGCGUAGAUAUUAGGAGGAACACCAGUGGCGAAGGCGGCUUACUGGACAGUAACUGACGUUGAGGCUCGAAAGCGUGGGGAGCAAA